rnacentral:rRNA from 1 species
UGAAUACGAGACGCUACGGCGUCGAAGCAGUCUAUGUCAUACUUCCAAGAAAAGCUUGCACUGUCAUAAACAAAUAAUGCCUGUACCAUAACCGACACAGGUGGGUAGGUAGAGUAUACUAAGGGGCGCGAGAUAACUCUCUCUAAGGAACUCGGCAAAAUGACUCCGUAACUUCGGGAGAAGGAGUGCCUUAUUUAUAAGGUUGCAAUAACAAGAUCCAAGCAACUGUUUAUCAAAAACACAGGUCUCCGCUAAGUCGUAAGACGAUGUAUGGGGGCUGACGCCUGCCCAGUGCCAGAAGGUUAAAGAAGUUGGUUAGCAUUAGCGAAGCUGAUAACUGAAGCCCUGGUGAACGGCGGCCGUAACGAUAACGGUCCUAAGGUAGCGAAAUUCCUUGUCGGGUAAGUUCCGACCCGCACGAAAGGCGUAAUGAUUUGGAUACUGUCUCGGAGAGGGGCUCGGUGAAAUAGACUUGUCUGUGAAGAUGCGGACUACCUGCACCUGGACAGAAAGACCCUAUGAAGCUUUACUGUAACCUGAAAUUGAAAUUGGACUUUAUUUGCGCAGUAUAGGUGGGAGGCGUUGAGAAUAUUCUUGCGGGAAUAUUGGAGCCAUCAGUGAGAUACCACUCUUGUAAUGUUAGAUUUCUAACUUUGAAUCAUUAUCUGGUCAAAGAACAGUUUCAGGCGGGCAGUUUGACUGGGGCGGUCGCCUCCUAAAUGGUAACGGAGGCGCACAAAGGUUUCCUCUGAACGGGUAGAAAUCGUAUCUAGAGUGUAAAGGCAUAAGGAAGCUUGACUGUGAGACCUACAAGUCGAGCAGGGACGAAAGUCGGUCUUAGUGAUCUGACGGUGCUGAGUGGAAAGGCCGUCACUCAACGGAUAAAAGUUACUCUAAGGAUAACAGGCUGAUCUCCCCCAAGAGUUCACAUCGACGGGGAGGUUUGGCACCUGGAUGUCGGCUCAUCGCAUCCUGGGGCGGUAGUACGUCCCAAGGGUUGGGCUGUUCGCCCAUGAAAGCGGUACGCGAGCUGGGUUCAGAACGUCGUGAGACAGUUCGGUCCAUAUCCGGUGUAGGCGUUAGAAUAUUGAGAGGAGCCUUCUUUAGUACGAGAGGACCGAGAAGGACAUACCUCUGGUGUACCAGUUAUCGUGCCAACGGUAAACGCUGGGUAGCUAUGUAUGGAGAGGAUAACCGCUGAAAGCAUCUAAGUGGGAAGCCCACCUCAAGAUAAG